rnacentral:misc_RNA from 1 species
AGUUAAACAGUACGUGAAAUUGUUGAAAGGGAAACGAUUGAAGUCAGUCGUACCAACGGGAAAUCAAUUCAUCGAGUGUUAAAUUUGGGUUUCGAAGAGUUGUUAAAACCUUUGGGUUCAGAUAUUUUCACUUUUUGAACGUAUUUUCUCGUACGGUAGGUUAACAUCGAUUUUGAACAUUAUAAAAUGAUCGGAGGAAUGUAGCUUCGAUCUCGUAUUGAAGUGUUAUAGCCUUUGGUAGAUGUAAUGAUCGAGAUCGAGGAUUGCAACGAAUACCCUUUUGGGCUAUCCGUCUGAUCUCUGAUACGUUGCCUCGGUAACGAAAGCGUGCUUACGGUAUUGAGGUAUUACGGUCAAAAGGUUAGAACGUGAUUACAUUCGUUAAGGAUGUUGACGUAAUGGCUUUAAA